AGUGAUCGCUGGCGGUAGGCCUAACACAUGCAAGUCGAACGGCAGCACAGGAGAGCUUGCUCUCUGGGUGGCGAGUGGCGGACGGGUGAGGAAUACAUCGGAAUCUACUCUGUCGUGGGGGAUAACGUAGGGAAACUUACGCUAAUACCGCAUACGACCUACGGGAGAAAGCAGGGGACCUUCGGGCCUUGCGCGAUUGAAUGAGCCGAUGUCGGAUUAGCGAGUUGGCGGGGUAAAGGCCCACCAAGGCGACGAUCCGUAGCUGGUCUGAGAGGAUGAUCAGCCACACUGGAACUGAGACACGGUCCAGACUCCUACGGGAGGCAGCAGUGGGGAAUAUUGGACAAUGGGCGCAAGCCUGAUCCAGCCAUACCGCGUGGGUGAAGAAGGCCUUCGGGUUGUAAAGCCCUUUUGUUGGGAAAGAAAUCCAGCUGGCUAAUACCCGGUUGGGAUGACGGUACCCAAAGAAUAAGCACCGGCUAACUUCGUGCCAGCCGCCGCCGUAA
rnacentral:rRNA from 1 species